CUUCAGGCUUGUCCUGCUGCUUGAGGGUCCUAGCCUGGUGCAAGCAGCUGACUUUGCCUCACUAGGGCCUGGCUUGUCCCCUUGGCAUGUCAAGGGACACUGAGGGAGCCUCUGGCCGUCCCAGCACUGCUCAGACUCAGCUUUCAUUUGGAGGAAGGAGAAGUUUCACAGCUGUGAGGAAACAGUUACAGAGACAAAGCUUGCUGAAAUGAAAACGAACUAAUUAUCAUGGAACAUGGUUUUUCUACAAGUUAUUUGGGUGCGAGGGUUAACCAGCUCUUGGCUUUGGGGCCUCUGGUUCUUGCAGCUUUCUGACAGUGUUUUGUGGAGCGAAUGGAUAACCUGUCCUGAAGCCGCUUCAGAUGAGCUUGCAGAUGAUACAAGCUAGGUGGAGGGACUGACAGACCAGAUGGUUGUGCUGCCAUUCAGAGGAACCUUGACAGGGUGGAGGACUGGGCAGAGAGGAAUUUCAUGAAAUUUAACAACAGGAAGUCCUGCACUUGGUGAAGAACAACCCCGUGCAUCAGCAAACGCCAAGGGGACACCUUGGUGGUAGACACCGAGUUGAAAUAAAGUCUGCAGCUAGUCUCUGGCAAAGGCAGCCAACGGCAUCCUUGGCUGCAUUCGGAAGGCUGUUGCCAGAAGAUCCUGGGGGCUGGUUACUCCUCUCCACGGAACUCUGGUGAGGCUGCAUCUGGAGGGCUAUUUCCACAUGGGGUCUGCGGUAUGAGAGGUGUGGGCAUAGUGACUUUUUGCUAGAUCUGUUCCAGUAAGAUGACUAAGGGAUUGAAGCACCUGUCAUAUAAUGAGAGACUGGAAGAGCUGGGACUGUUUAGCCUGUCAAAGAUAAGACAUAAGGGGAUUGGGAUGUGGGGGUUAGAAUUUAUUAACAUGUGUAAAUAACCAGUGGGAGGAAGUAAAGCUGGUGGAGACAGGCUCUUCCUGGUGGUGCCCAGUUAAAGGACAAGAUGCAGUGGGCACAAAUUGAAAUUCAAGAAAUUCCAUUUAAAUAUAAGAGAAAAUGUAUUCACUGUGAAUGUGACUAAACACAAUCAGAUACCAGAGCUUCCCUGGGCAAUCUCCAUCCUUGGAGUUGCUCAAAAUCCUUCCACAGCCCUGAGCAGCCUGCUCUUGUUGACCCUUCCAAGCCAGUGGGGUUGGACUAGAUGAUCUCCAGAGGUCCUUUCCAACUUCAACCCUUCUGCAAUUUUGUGUUUUAAAUAGUGAAAUGGUUGAAGGAACUAAUCUGUUUGUAGCUAUUUAGGCACACAAUGGUCAGUGAAUAGUAUUUAUUAUAGCUUAGUUUGUUUACUUUGGAACUGAAUAUGCUGAAUUAUACUUCUCUUGAAUCAUUUGUUAUCCUGGUUAGAAAACUGAUAAACUUGCUCUCCUGUAAAAACCCAGAAAAGUUUACCAAUUACUAUUCCACACUUAAUUUGACUAUUCUCACUAUUUUUAACAGCUUCUGCACUUCAUUUCUGACCUUGAGAGUCAGUCCUCUAUAAUGAGUGCGCUAAUAACCUACGGUUUUUGUUUCUUCCAAUAGAUCUGAAAUGCUGCAUUGGCAGAAAGGCUUAAUAUUUAGAAUUCUAAAUGUUAAUGCAUUUUCUUCUAUAGGUCUAAAUUUUUUUUGUAUGUGCAGUCCACUAAAUAUACUACUUCU